rnacentral:rRNA from 1 species
GGGUUUAAAGUGUGCGUAGGUGGUUUGAUAAGUUAGAUGUGAAAGUCCUGGGCUCAACCUGGGGACUGCGUCUGAUACUGUCAGGCUAGAGUUCUGUAGAGGAAGGUGGAAUUUCCGGAGUAGCGGUGAAAUGCGUAGAUAUCGGAAGGAACAUCGGUGGCGAAAGCGGCCUUCUGGACAGAAACUGACACUGAGGCACGAAAGCGUGGGGAGCAAACAGGAUUAGAUACCCUGGUAGUCCACGCCGUAAACGAUGAGAACUGGCUGUUGGGGGCCGUUAGGCCCCGAGUAGCGAAGCUAACGCGUUAAGUUCUCCGCCUGGGGAGUACGGUCGCAAGAUUAAAACU